GGUAACAAAAUACCAAGAACAACUAGAAAAGGAAUGAGAAUUUCUUAUUAGCCUCAAUUUUCUUCAAGGGAAAUACUGCAGAUUACUGCACAUGUAAGAGGAAGCCCUACAUUACCAUGACGCAUCUGGUUAUGACAUGCACACUGUACAAUGAUCAACAGUUGCCUGCCUUGGACUUUGGAGUUUGCAAGAACUAGUGUCAUAAACAAAGUUGCUCUUUCCUUUGCAAGAAGAAAAGAGCACGGUGGAAACAGAGAAGUGUGUCUUCUGUUUGGUCAGCAAGGCAGGAAAGGCCUUGUGUGCUCUGUCCGUCAACACUGAUAAGCUGUGACAUCAGGAGACUGGGAGGAUCCCCAGCUGUUCCACCUACACUGGGUCCCAGGGCGCGUGAUCCUGCUCAGGAAGCACGGGGAGCUCAAACGGAAAGAUGAGCACCACGAACACAAUGAGUCUACUCGGAGUUUCUUAUAUUAUUUGAGUAUCCAUAUAUUUGACUUCAAGAGACCUUUAUUUUCUGGGUUUCUUCCUUGUAGCUCAAAGAGUACGUGCUUUGAGCAUUUCAGUUGGUGCAGCACCUCUACAAAAGCCUUCCUUCAAAAGAGUCAAAACCUUAAGGAAUCUAGCAAAACUACAACAAGAUGCAUCAUAAUUGGUUUCUAUGAAUUAAGAAACAAUUGAUUUUUAACUUCUUAAGUAUAU